rnacentral:rRNA from 1 species
GGAUGAUGUGGAUUAAUUCGAUGCAACGACGAAAACCUUACCUACCCUUGACAUGUCCGGAAUCCCGAAGAGAUUUGGGAGUGCUCGCAAGAGAGCCGGAACACAGGUGCUGCAUGGCUGUCGUCAGCUCGUGUCGUGAGAUGUUGGGUUAAGUCCCGCAACGAGCGCAACCCUUGUCAUUAGUUGCCAUCAUUUGGUUGGGUACUCUAAUGAGACUGCCGGUGACAAACCGGAGGAAGGUGGGGAUGACGUCAAGUCCUCAUGGCCCUUAUGGGUAGGGCUUCACACGUCAUACAAUGGUCGGUACAGAGGGUUGCCAACCCGCGAGGGGGAGCUAAUCCCACAAAGCCGAUCGUAGUCCGGAUCGCAGUCUGCAACUCGACUGCGUGAAGUCGGAAUCGCUAGUAAUCGUGGAUCAGCAUGUCACGGUGAAUACGUUCCCGGGUCUUU